rnacentral:rRNA from 1 species
GAUGAACGCUGGCGGCGUGCCUAAUACAUGCAAGUCGAGCGAACAGACGGGGAGCUUGCUCCUCUGACGUUUGCGGCGGACGGGUGAGUAACACGUGGAUAACCUACCUAUAAGGCUGGGAUCACUUCGGGAAACCGGCGCUAAUACCGGAAAAUAUAUUGAACCACAUGGUUCAAUAGUGAAAGACGGUUUUGUUGUUACUUAUAGAUGGAUCCGCGCCGUAUUAGCUAGUUGGUAAGGUAACGGCUUACCAAGGCAACGAUGCGUAGCCGACCUGAGAGGGUGAUCGGCCACACUGGAACUGAGACACGGUCCAGACUCCUACGGGAGGCAGCAGUAGGGAAUCUUCCGCAAUGGGCGAAAGCCUGACGGAGCAACGCCGCGUGAGUGAUGAAGGUCUUCGGAUCGUAAAACUCUGUUAUUAGGGAAGAACAAUUGUGUAAGUAACUAUGCACGUCUUGACGGUACCUUAUCAGAAAGCCACGGCUAACUACGUG